rnacentral:lncRNA from 1 species
CUGGAGUGCAGUGGCAUGAUCAUGACUCGCUCCUUUUGGGAUCAACUGAUCCUCCUACCUCAGCCUCUGGACCAGCUGGGACCACAGGAUGAAAAGAGGAAGGAGAUGGUGUCACUGGAGCAGCACGUGAUUAGAGGCCACCCAGCGGAUCUGAACUGCUGUGGACCUGUCCCAUGGGAGCUGGGGCCGCAAAGGACAGGGCUGUUUGGCAAGACAUGAAGCCAAGUAGAAAACGGGCGCUGACGAGAUGCUACCUGAAACAGAGAGGAGGACCAACACUUUGACCUCUUCCUCUGCCAGAGCCUACCCCUGGUUGAUUCUCUGCCAGAACUGGAGGGCCCAGGCACCCCGGAAAUGCAGUGCCCUUAGUUCUCUGUGAAAAGGAGCAGAGCACAGGAAAGGCAAGGCAUGGCUCCGGGAGCAAAGAUCCGAAAACCAACACUACUAACUUUAUAGAGUUCAUUUCACAAGUUGGAACACAGUGGUUCUUGACCAGUGGUUUUGUGGGCCUGGUGAAGUCACCAGUUCAGUUCCUUUAAGAACUAUGGAACAGAAAUUCCUGAAUUGCUUAGAACUGGUUUAAAGCCAGGAUUUGGGUGUUUGCUUGUAGAAACCAGAAAAACAAACAAACAAAAAAACCCACUUUGUACCAAUGAGCUUUGUUUCUUUCAUCGCUUUGUUUGGAUAUGCUUAGCCUAUAAGAUUGUUCUCUAAAUGAGCAAAUGCUUGUAAGCAGCUUUGAGACUGUAAAGAUAUGACUUACCUGACAAUUGCUUGGUUCACUUGCUACCUGUCUUUUGCAUAUUUUCUCCUCUCAUCAUAGUUUUUUGAGACAGGAACAUGUCUUUGAAGAAAUCUGUGUCUCCCUGCAACCUCAGGACUGAUGAUCAUAAGGUGUCUGUGGAGCCCUUUGUUGGGAGAGGACUGGGAGAGGACCGGGAGAAGGGGGAGCGUGUGUUUCAUGUGGCCAGAAUCCUCUGCAGCCACCAGCAGGAGAAGAGAGGCAUGGGAUGUCAGACAUAUUAACAGAAUCAUUUAGAGCAACUUGUUUUCUAUGCAGAGACUUUUUCAAGACCAGGGCUAUUUUUGCCGCUUAAUGUGGUCUGCAUUUUCUGCAGUCAGACCCCACUGAUGGUUAAUGACAGAAGAUCCAGGAAGCUUGGGGAUUGUGCCAGUAGACACCAGAGACAGUAACCUUGUCAAAAAAGAAACAGAUGACAUACUUACAGCAUGGUGAGACACUCAGUUCCUAAGCCCCUAAAGCAACUAGGAAGAGACUUGAUGCAGAGACACUAAUUACACAGCCGGAUUUCUCCGAAGGCAGCAUUUACCAAUCCUCUCUCCUAAAAAUGUAGAUUGGCAGAGGGAUAAUUCCAAGUAAUUUAAUGAAACAGCAGGUGAUAGUGAGAAUUAUCCUAGG